rnacentral:Y_RNA from 1 species
CUGGUCUGAUGUCACUGGGUUAUCAGAACUUAUUAACGUUAGUGUCACUAAAGUUGGUAUACAACCCCCCCACUGCUAAAUUUGACUGG